rnacentral:rRNA from 1 species
GGACUACUGGGGUUUCUAAUCCUGUUUGCUCCCCUAGCUUUCGUUCCUCAGUGUCAGUUGCGGUCCAGCCAGCCGCCUUCGCCACGGGUGUUCCUGCAGAUAUCUACGCAUUUCACCGCUACACCUGCAAUUCCACUGGCCUCUCCCGCACUCGAGCACGGCAGUUUUGAAAGCAGCCUCUGGGUUAAGCCCAGAGAUUUCACUUCCAACUUGCCGCACCACCUACGAACCCUUUACGCCCAGUAAUUCCGAGCAACGCUGGCCCCCUACGUAUUACCGCGGCUGCUGGCAC